rnacentral:misc_RNA from 1 species
GAUGAAGAACGUAGCGAAAUGCGAUACGUAAUGUGAAUUGCAGAAUUCAGUGAAUCAUCGAAUCUUUGAACGCAUAUUGCGCUCUUUGGUAUUCCGAAGAGCAUGCUUGUUUGAGUAUCAGUAAACACCUCAACCUCUUCUUGAUUUUUCAAAAGGAGGGUGGACUUGAGCUAUCCCAACAACCUUUACCGGUCGGCGGGCGGCUUGAAAUGCAGGUGCAGCUGGACUUUUAUCUGAGCUAAAAGCAUAUCUAUUUAGUCCUCGUCAAACAGGAUUAUUACUUUUGCUGCAGCUAACAUAAAGGAUAAUUGUCCUCUUUGCUGACUGAUGCAGGAUUUUACGUCACUUUAUGUGUUGUUCAACUCGAUCUCAAAUCAAGUAAGACUACCCGCUGAACUUAAGCAUAUCAAUAAGCGGAGGA